GAUGAACGCUGGCGGCGUGCCUAAUACAUGCAAGUCGAGCGAACGGACGAGAAGCUUGCUUCUCUGAUGUUAGCGGCGGACGGGUGAGUAACACGUGGAUAACCUAACUAUAAGACUGGGAUAACUUCGGGAAACCGGAGCUAAGACCGGAUGAUAUUUUGAACUGCAAGGUUCAAAAGUGAAAGACGGUCUUGCUGUCACUAAUAGAUGGAUCCGCGCUGCAUUAGCUAGUUGGUAAGGUCACGGCUUACCAAGGCAACGAUGCAUAGCCGACCUGAGAGGGUGAUCGGCCACACUGGAACAGAGACACGGCCCAGACUCCUACAGGAGGCAGCAGUAGGGAAUCUUCCGCGAUGGAGGAAUGCCUGACGGAGCGAAGCCGCGUGAAUGAUGAAGGACUUCUGCUCGUAAAACUCUGUUAGUCGGAAGGUACAUAUGUGUAAGUACCUGUGCACAUCUUGACGGUACCUAAUCAGAAAGCCACGGCUAACUACGUG
rnacentral:rRNA from 1 species